rnacentral:rRNA from 1 species
AUUGAACGCUGGCGGCAUGCCUUACACAUGCCAGUCGAACGGUAACGGGCCUUCGGGUGCCGACGAGUGGCGCACGGGUGAGUAAUACAUCGGAACGUGCCCGAUCGUGGGGGAUAACGAGGCGAAAGCUUUGCUAAUACCGCAUACGAUCUACGGAUGAAAGCAGGGGACCGCAAGGCCUUGCGCGGACGGAGCGGCCGAUGGCAGAUUAGGUAGUUGGUGGGAUAAAAGCUUACCAAGCCGACGAUCUGUAGCUGGUCUGAGAGGAUGAUCAGCCACACUGGGACUGAGACACGGCCCAGACCCCUACGGGAGGCAGCAGUGGGGAAUUUUGGACAAUGGGCGCAAGCCUGAUCCAGCCAUGCCGCGUGCAGGAUGAAGGCCUUCGGGUUGUAAACUGCUUUUGUACGGAACGAAAAGCCUUCUUUUAAUACAGGAGGGUCAUGACGGUACCGUAAGAAUAAGCACCGGCUAACUACGUG